rnacentral:rRNA from 1 species
AGUGAACGCUGGCGGUAGGCCUAACACAUGCAAGUCGAACGGCAGCACAGUAAGAGCUUGCUCUUACGGGUGGCGAGUGGCGGACGGGUGAGGAAUACAUCGGAAUCUACUUUUUCGUGGGGGAUAAAGUAGGGAAACUUACGCUAAUACCGCAUACGACCUACGGGUGAAAGCAGGGGAUCUUCGGACCUUGCGCGAUUGAAUGAGCCGAUGUCGGAUUAGCUAGUUGGCGGGGUACAGGCCCACCAAGGCGACGAUCCGUAGCUGGUCUGAGAGGAUGAUCAGCCACACUAGAACUGAGACACCGUCCAUACUCCUACGGGAGGCAGCAGUGGGGUAUAUUGGACAAUGGGCGCAAGCCUGAUCCAGCCAUACCGCGUGGGUGAAGAAGACCUUCGGGGUGUAAAGCCCUUUUUUUGGGAAAGAAAAGCAGCAGGUUAAUACCCCGCUGUUCUGACGGUACCCAAAGAAUAAGCACCGGCUAACUUCGUG